CAGUCGAACGAAGCACUCUAUUUGAUUUUCUUCGGAAAUGAAGAUUUUGUCACUGAGUGGCGGACGGGUGAGUAACGCGUGGGUAACCUGCCUCAUACAGGGGGAUAACAGUUGGAAACGACUGCUAAUACCGCAUAAGCGCACAGGAUCGCAUGAUCCGGUGUGAAAAACUCCGGUGGUAUGAGAUGGACCCGCGUCUGAUUAGCCAGUUGGCAGGGUAACGGCCUACCAAAGCGACGAUCAGUAGCCGACCUGAGAGGGUGACCGGCCACAUUGGGACUGAGACACGGCCCAAACUCCUACGGGAGGCAGCAGUGGGGAAUAUUGCACAAUGGGGGGAACCCUGAUGCAGCGACGCCGCGUGAGCGAAGAAGUAUUUCGGUAUGUAAAGCUCUAUCAGCAGGGAAGAAGAAUGACGGUACCUGACUAAGAAGCACCGGCUAAAUACGUGCCAGCAGCCGCGGUAAUACGUAUGGUGCAAGCGUUAUCCGGAUUUACUGGGUGUAAAGGGAGCGCAGGCGGUGCGGCAAGUCUGAUGUGAAAGCCCGGGGCUCAACCCCGGUACUGCAUUGGAAACUGUCGUACUAGAGUGUCGGAGGGGUAAGUGGAAUUCCUAGUGUAGCGGUGAAAUGCGUAGAUAUUAGGAGGAACACCAGUGGCGAAGGCGGCUUACUGGACGAUAACUGACGCUGAGGCUCGAAAGCGUGGGGAGCAAACAGGAUUAGAUACCCUGGUAGUCCACGCCGUAAACGAUGACUGCUAGGUGUCGGGUGGCAA
rnacentral:rRNA from 1 species